UUGAAUUGAAAGCAGAAAUAUGUACAGUAACCUUGAAGAAACCCAUUAUUGAUAGAGGGACAAGCCAAGGACUAUUUCUAACAGCUCAACAGUGGAGGCUGGAGAGUCUCAGUUUGAGAGCAUCAAAAGUCAAUCUAAUUCAAGACUCUCCUUCCUGCAGUGACAUUCUGCUGGUUUAAAACCCUGGAGGAUGUUUGGCCUGACUUUAGAGAACAGAGCUACAGUGUGAGGACAAUAGAGGAGGUGGUAACAGGAGGAUGAGAAGAAAGAGAAGAAGACAGAUGUGCAAGCAGGCUGGUGGAGUUGGGGGAGGGGGACUCUCUUUCUUUCAGUCUCUGGAGUCUGCUGACAGCUGCUCAGGGAGGCCUGAGGCUGCAGCUCACCGCCAGGCAGAACCACGACCACAUCCUGCAGGAUUCAGAGCUCAUGCAUGCUCACGGAGGAAAAUCUACAGCGAGCUAAAACACAAAGACGACCGAGUGUUUACUCAGUCUGUCCACUUGUGUUAACCCUUUGGAAACAGAAAUACAGAAGGGGUCCCCCUGUCUCACAUGAGUCUGUUUUAUCGGGCCUUAAAAGAUAUAAGAACAGAGCUGAAUAGUAAGACUCCUUUCCUCUGCAACACCGGGUUGUUCAUUAAUUCAUGACAUUGUUACGUAACAUAAAUUGCAGUAAGAACUGAGUUUCUGUGUGUAAUUUAGCAGAGAGAGGUUAUUUUACAAAGACCUGCAUUAAAAAUUUGAACAACUACAGCCUUUACUCUCAAUGCAACAGGAAUCUAAGAGUUUGUUUUCAACUGUGCAUUUGUUGAUCAUUAUGUGACGUUAUAUAUGGAAUAAAAUGGGAAAAUGACUGCAAAAGGCA